UACGCUGGCUGCUACCUCCCUCACUCUUGUCAGAGUCGGAGCUACAGGCAGUGCCUUCAGCUCUGAGCUCAGGCAUCCCGGUCCCUGUUUUUGCGGUUAAGGACUCUAAAGUGUUGUGUCGUGUUCAUCAACUUUUUCUCAACCUCCCUGGCUCUACCUCUUCUGCCACAAACGUCAGCAUGGUGGUAUCUGCCGACCCUUUGUCCAGCGAGAGGGCAGAGAUGAACAUCCUAGAAAUCAACCAGGAAUUGCGCUCGCAGCUGGCAGAGAGCAAUCAGCAGUUCCGAGACCUCAAAGAGAAGUUCCUUAUAACUCAAGCUACUGCCUACUCCCUGGCCAACCAGCUGAAGAAAUACAGUUGUUUAAAGUACAGGAAUCACCUGCCCCCAGAGAGGUGCAGAAGACUGAAGAAAAGGAAGUCCCUCAGGACUCACUGGAGGAAUGUGCUGUCACUUGUUCAAAUAGUCACAACCCUUCUAACUCCAACCAGCCUCACAGGAGCACCAAAAUCACAUUUAAGGAACACGAAGUCGACUCUGCUCUGGUUGUAGAGAGUGAACACCCUCAUGAUGAAGAGGAGGAAGCUCUAAACAUUCCCCCAGAAAAUCAAAAUGACCAUGAGGAGGAGGAGGGGAAAGCGCCAGUGCCCCCCAGACACCAUGACAAGUCCAACUCUUACCGGCAUCGUGAAGUCUCUUUCUUGGCAUUGGAUGAACAGAAAGUUUGCUCCGCUCAGGAUGUUGCCAGGGAUUACUCCAAUCCCAAAUGGGAUGAAACCUCACUUGGCUUCCUCGACACACCCUUGGCCAGAAGAGAAUCUGUUGCCUUGAAGGGUAGGACUCGGUCCUGGCAGCAUUCAUCACAUGCUAACUGAAGAACCCCUAGGCCCUGAAUAACCAGUAGUGAUACCCAAGAACUAUGUCAAGAGCCUUAGGAUCCCAGCUGAAAUGGCACAUUCUAUUUGUCAUCACAUCUCCUUAGGCUCCUCUUGGCUAUGAUAGUUUCUCUUUCCCUGUUUUUGAUAACCUUGAUAGCUUCAAGGAGUGCUGAUCAGGUAAUUGGCAGAAUGCCCCUCUAGUGGAAUUUAUUCCAUAUUGCUUUUUAAUUAUUUACUUGUAUGUAUUUCUCCCAUAUUUUCCUAUGAUGUUUUGAAGGGAAAGACCAAGUCAUCUGUGUAUCUCCAACACUUAGCAUUCAAUAAAUAUCUGUUGAGUGAAUAAAUAAAUGGGUGAAAAGUG
rnacentral:lncRNA from 1 species